AGAAAUUGAAUCUUUUAUUUGGGGUUUAUUUAUUAAAUUUACUGAUAUUUUUAAUAUAAAAUUUUGAAUUAAUUUCUUAUUUAAAGAUGUGAAAAUAGUCGAAUUACUGUAGUUAAAAAUACACAUUAUUGAUUUUUUUAUAUGUUACAGAUUAAGUAAACCAUAUUAUCUAAAUAACUGACUACAAUUUUCACUGACAAUUUUAUUAUCUACUAUUAUUUCUUAAAUGCUGUAACAGAGACGGUAGUCAAGAGAAUCUGUCGAUAGACCUAACUGAUGAAUGGACCUAACCGAUGAACGAAAGCGAACUGAAAUCAAAUAAAAAAUUUUCUGAAUUUAUAUUCCUCCUCAAACUAUCUUGAAACAGAACACGCACUGAAAGUCAUGUUUGUUUCAGAUUUUAUGUUCGAUGUUGCCUUUUUAAAUUUAAAUACCUAUGCAAUCUUUAUUGUAUUUUAUAUUGCAAAAUUAAAUUAAACAAUUUAAAAAGCAAAAAUAAAAACAAAUUGUAAAUCUAUGUUAUGCGUGUUAACUUAUAACACACAAAAAGAACAUAAUUGUUGUAUAAUAUAAAAGUGGGAGUAUAUUAUUUAUUUGUGUUUGGUGGUAAAAGGAGAGAGAGAGAGAUUGAAUGUGAGAGGAAGAGAGUUGAGUGUUUUAUUAUAUAUAUUUGUUGUAUUACGAGAGAGAGAUAGUGGAGUGACAGAGGAAGUUGUGAAGUGUAAAAGAUGAUUAUUAUUCACUUCAUAUGAUCCUAUUUAUAAAGACUUCAAGUCGGGGAAACACAUAUGUUUGAAUAAUUAAAAAAAAAAACGCUUGGAAGAGAAACAGAGGCGAAAAAAAGAAGAAGAAAAGUCGUGGGUUUUUUUCCUCUCCGGCGGCCCCCACGGCGCUGUGAGAGGAGUGGGUAGAUCUAGGAUUCUUUGUUUGCUUUGUGUGGUUUUCUUAUGGGUAAGUUUCUACCAUCGUGAUUUAAGGUGAAGAGGAGUGAGAGGAUUUGAGCGCCGGUGUUAUCUCUUGGUGUCGUCGGAGUCAAUUAGAGGUCUUUGUUCAGAUCUGGUAUGGCGAGGUCGUGAUUUGGAAUUCUGGUUCCCUAUGAUUUCAGAUUUGGGUUUAUUACCUAGGGUUUGGUCGUUUUCGUACUGUAGUUGUAUAUGCCCGCUGAUUUUGACAUGGUUGACCCUCUUUUCGUGCUCUUCAUCUCUGGUUCUUGCUUCGUUGGAGGUUUUAGUGAUGGUCUUGUCUUAGUGGUUCUUGUCGGCUCGUUAGUUGGUUUGAGCCUAGGAAGUGGAUGGUUUGACUCUGGCCCUGUUCGUUUGUACAUCUCGAAGAUGCAUCCAGAUGGUCCAUCUAGAUGUCCUACCCAGAUGAUCCAUCUGGGUGUUGUUCGUUUCUUCAUUUCGUCCAUGCAUCCAGAUGAAUCAUCUGAAUGCAACUAUGUUCGUUUGAUUUUCAUUUUUUAACUUCCAUCUUCAUCCAGGUGAACUUGUUAAUAAAAUGACUAAAAUAUAAUUUUUAAUGUUUCGGCGGAAAAAAUCAUUUUAACGGUUUUGGCUGAAAAUAUAUUUGCGGUUUUUGAGGAAAAUGUGUUUUUCGCGAAAAAUGCAUUUUUAUGGUUUUGACGGAAAUACGUUUUUGGGUUUGGCGAAAAAUACGUUUUUGCGGUUUGGAUGGAAAAAGUGUGUUUUGAAAGUUUUGGCGGGAAAAGUAUUUUUUCACGAUUUUGGAGGGAAAAGUUAUUUUUUGCGACUUUGGCUUGGAAACUCAUUUUGGCGUUUUAGCGGAAAAAUGCAUUUUUCCAGUUUGUCGGGAAAGCAUUUUUCCAGUUUUAGCGGGAAAAUGCAUUUUCCCGGUUUUAGCGGGAAAAUGCGUUUUUUCCGGUUUUGGCGGGGAAAAUUCGUUUACCGGUUUUGGCGGGAAAAAUUUCGUUUUUCGGUUUUGGUGGAAAAAUUCGGUUUUCCGGUUUUGGCGGGAAAUUGUGUUUUUUUCGGUUUUGGUGAGAAAAUGCGUUUUUCCUGUUUUGGCGGGAAAAUGCUUUUUGCGGUUUUGGCCGGAAAAUGCUUUUUGGAGUUUUGGCGGGAAUAUGCGUUUUUUUGUUUUGGCGGGAAAAUGCGUUUUUUUCGGUUUUGGUCGAAAAGUGUGGUUUUACUGGUUUAGCCGAAACAUGUGUUUUUAUGAAAAUGCGUGUUUUAUGUUUUUGUUUUUUGCGGAAAACCGCAUCUUGCGGUUUUGGCGGAAAUGUGUUUUUUCAGUUUUUGCGAGAAAAUUCAUUUUUUGUUAUAGCGGAAAAAUGUAUAUGCAAAAAAAGAAUUUACGAUUUGAAAAUAAUAUUUUAAUUUUAAAAGGUCAUUUUUGUCAUUUAUCAUUUUGGACUGAACUAGAUGCAUCUGCAUCCAGAUGCACCAUCAAGACUCACCUUCAUUUGGGUGAGAAUUUGAGAUGAGUUUUGAAAAAUUCAGCUGGGUGAUCCAUCUGGAUGUAGCAUUAUAAUGCACAAAACGAACAUCAAUUUGCAUCUUCACCCAGAUGGAUCACCUGGGUGAGCAAACGAACAGGGCCUCUGUGACAAGAUUGGGUUCGAUAGCGGGACUGAGACAGGAAGACAUUGCCUUCUCUGGAUAUGCACAGUUAUGGUGGUUGACAGUAUCAGUUGCAGACUUCUCUUCUAGUUGUGGUGGGUGCAGUGAUCUCUCGUCGGUGUGGUUUGCUAGUGAAUUCAUCUGUUAUGGAAUCGAUCGACGAGGCUUGUUUGUGUGAAGGUGUUUCGUGGGCUUCUAUCUAGGGGUAAAGUGAACGUCAGUGCGUCCUAUCCGUAUCCGAAAGUUAUGUGGAUCGUGAAGCGGUCUUUCUUGUCGGGUUGUGAAGUCUUGUUUCUUGGUUACUAGUGGGGAUGGUAUCGUUCGGCAGGCCAUAGGUGGCAACGAUAGAUCCGGGUUGCGAAGAUUGAGUGUCUUGGGUUCUAAAAGUGGAUGGUAUCGUCGGUUGGCCGAGGGCAGCUUCGAUAUAUCCAGAUCACUGUGUUUGCUAUGUUGGAAGGUCUUCUGUAUUGAUUUAUCCUUUGUUUGUGUGUUGAUGGCUUCUUGUCGGAUGUGUUUUAGUUGCGAUUUCUAGCUCUAAAUUGUCGUUGUGUUCGUAAGGUGCCCCGAUGUGGGUUUUAGUUGCCUUUCUUUUGGGCUUUUGUUUUCGGGGAUUUAAUGAUAUCUGCCGGUUUGUGUAUCAAGCUGUUUAUUUCACCAUGAAUCAAUAUUUUCAGAGGAAAAAUAAAAAAUAAAGACUUCAAGUCGGUAAAACUAACCGACAUUAGGAAAA
rnacentral:lncRNA from 1 species